UUUUUUUUUUUUUUUUUUAAGUAUUUUAAUGGUGUCUUUUGGCUUGAUUUUUGUUAUAGCUUUUCUCCUCUCUCUCUAUAAAUGUUCAAAGUAUAUUUUUCUUUCUAAUUCUUGAGCUUAGAAUUAGACAUAGGAGUUUUGGUGACCAUAUAGAUAAUGUAGGAAUAAUUUGUGGGUUGCACUUCUUUUUAAGGAGUGUCCCCUUAGCUAUAGAGCUUGCAAUCUUUUUAUUAAUGGGGUCAUGCAUGCUCUUUGUAUUGUACACUCUUCUCUAUACAAUGCUAUAUUUGAUUGCUUUAAAA
rnacentral:misc_RNA from 1 species